rnacentral:rRNA from 1 species
CAGCCGCCACGGUAAUACGUAGGUCCCGAGCGUUGUCCGGAUUUAUUGGGCGUAAAGGGAGCGCAGGCGGUUUAGUAAGUCUGAAGUUAAAGGCAUUGGCUCAACCAAUGUAUGCUUUGGAAACUGUUAGACUUGAGUGCAGAAGGGGAGAGUGGAAUUCCAUGUGUAGCGGUGAAAUGCGUAGAUAUAUGGAGGAACACCGGUGGCGAAAGCGGCUCUCUGGUCUGUCACUGACGCUGAGGAGCGAAAGCGUGGGGAGCGAACAGGAUUAGAUACCCCUGUAGUCCCUGUCUCUUAUACA